UACGAAGGGGGCUAGCGUUGCUCGGAAUUACUGGGCGUAAAGCGCACGUAGGCGGCUAUUCAAGUCGGGGGUGAAAGCCCGGGGCUCAACCCCGGAACUGCCCUCGAAACUAGGUAGCUAGAAUCUUGGAGAGGCGAGUGGAAUUCCGAGUGUAGAGGUGAAAUUCGUAGAUAUUCGGAAGAACACCAGUGGCGAAGGCGACUCGCUGGACAAGUAUUGACGCUGAGGUGCGAAAGCGUGGGGAGCAAACAGG
rnacentral:rRNA from 1 species